rnacentral:rRNA from 1 species
ACACGUAGGGGGCGAGCGUUGUUCGGAAUCAUUGGGCGUAAAGGGCGUGCAGGCGGUCGUGCAAGUCCGGCGUGAAAGACCCCGGCCCAACCGGGGGGACGCGCUGGAAACUGCAGGGCUUGAGUACAGGAGGGGAUGCCGGAAUUCCAGGUGUAGGGGUGAAAUCUGUAGAUAUCUGGAAGAACACCAAUGGCGAAGGCAGGCAUCUGGCCUUGUACUGACGCUGAGACGCGAAGGUGCGGGGAGCAAACAGGUUUAGAUGCCCUGGUAGUCCGCACAGUAAACGAUGUGCACCAGGUGGCGGGGGGUCGACCCCCGGUACCGUAGCUAACGCAUUAAGUGCACCGCCUGGGGAGUAUGCUCGCAAGGGUGAAACUCAAAUGAAUUGACGGGG